rnacentral:rRNA from 1 species
ACUCCUACGGGAGGCAGCAGUAGGGAAUCUUCCACAAUGGGCGCAAGCCUGAUGGAGCAACACCGCGUGAGUGAAGAAGGGUUUCGGUCUCGUAAAGCUCUGUUGUUAAAGAAGAACACGUAUGAGAGUAACUGCUCAUACGUUGACGGUAUUUAACCAGAAAGUCACGGCUAACUACGUGCCAGCAGCCGCGGUAAUACGUAGGUGGCAAGCGUUAUCCGGAUUUAUUGGGCGUAAAGAGAGUGCAGGCGGUUUUCUAAGUCUGAUGUGAAAGCCUUCGGCUUAACCGGAGAAGUGCAUCGGAAACUGGAUAACUUGAGUGCAGAAGAGGGUAGUGGAACUCCAUGUGUAGCGGUGGAAUGCGUAGAUAUAUGGAAGAACACCAGUGGCGAAGGCGGCUACCUGGUCUGCAACUGACGCUGAGACUCGAAAGCAUGGGUAGCGAACAGGAUUAGAUACCCUGGUAGGAUAGCG